rnacentral:rRNA from 1 species
GAUGAACGCCGGCGGUGUGCCUAAUACAUGCAAGUCGAACGCGUUGGCCCAACUGAUUGACGAUGCUUGCAUCCGAUUGACGUUGGAUUUCCAACGAGUGGCGGACGGGUGAGUAACACGUAGGUAACCUGCCCAGAAGCGGGGGAUAACAUCUGGAAACAGGUGCUAAUACCGCAUAACAAUUCAAAUCGCAUGGUUUGAAUUUAAAAGAUGGCUCUGCUAUCACUUCUGGAUGGACCUGCGGCGCAUUAGCUUGUUGGUAGGGUAAUGGCCUACCAAGGCAGUGAUGCGUAGCCGAGUUGAGAGACUGAUCGGCCACAAUGGGACUGAGACACGGCCCAUACUCCUACGGGAGGCAGCAGUAGGGAAUCUUCCACAAUGGGCGCAAGCCUGAUGGAGCAACACCGCGUGAGUGAAGAAGGGUUUCGGCUCGUAAAGCUCUGUUGUUGAAGAAGAACGUGCAUGAGAGUAACUGUUCAUGCAGUGACGGUAUUCAACCAGAAAGUCACGGCUAACUACGUGCCAGCAGCCGCGGUAAUACGUAGGUGGCAAGCGUUAUCCGGAUUUAUUGGGCGUAAAGAGAGUGCAGGCGGUUUCUUAAGUCUGAUGUGAAAGCCUUCGGCUCAACCGAAGAAGUGCAUCGGAAACUGGGAGACUUGAGUACAGAAGAGGGCAGUGGAACUCCAUGUGUAGCGGUGGAAUGCGUAGAUAUAUGGAAGAACACCAGUGGCGAAAGCGGCUGCCUGGUCUGUAACUGACGCUGAGACUCGAUAGCAUGGGUAGCGAACAGG